rnacentral:rRNA from 1 species
UAGUCCAUGCCGUAAACGAUGAUUACUAGCUAUUAGCGAUACAAUGUUAGUGGCACAGCGAAAGCGUUAAGUAAUCCACCUGGGAAGUACGGUCGCAAGAUUGAAACUCAAAGGAAUUGACGGGGGCCCGCACAAGCGGUGGAGCAUGUGGUUUAAUUCGAUGAUACGCGAGGAACCUUACCAGGGCUUAAAUGCAGAUUGACAGGACAGGAAACUGUUUUUUCUUCGGACAAUUUGCAAGGUGCUGCAUGGUUGUCGUCAGCUCGUGCUGUGAAGUGUCGGGUUAAGUCCCAUAACGAGCGCAACCCCUAUCUUUAGUUGCUAGCAGGUAAUGCUGAGGACUCUAGAGAAACUGCCCGUGCAAGCGGUGAGGAAGGUGGGGAUGACGUCAAAUCAUCACGGCCCUUACGUUCUGGGCUACACACGUGCUACAAUGGUUAGGACAAAGAGUCGCCAACUUGCAAAAGUGAGCUAAUCUCGUAAACCUAAUCUCAGUUCGGAUCG